CGUCAGGUAACUCAGUGGUUUAGAGCAGUUGCCCGGCAAGCGAAAGCCCUCGGGUUCGAUUCCCGCUCUAGUGA
rnacentral:tRNA from 1 species